AUGCUGGCUUCAGCAGCACAUAUACUACAAUUGGAGCGAUACAGAGAAGAUUAGUGUGGCCCCUGCACAAGGAUGACACGCAGAUUCGUGAAGUGUUCCGUAUUUUU